rnacentral:tRNA from 1 species
GCGGCAUUAGCUCUGAUGGCAGAGCGCCGGAUUUUGGCUCCGGAGGCCGCGGGUUCGAGCCCCGCAUGUCGCCCCA